GACGUAGGGCGCGAGCGUUGUCCGGAUUUAUUGGGCGUAAAGAGCUCGUAGGCGGCUUGUCGCGUCGUCUGUGAAAUCCCGCGGCUCAACCGCGGGUCUGCAGUCGAUACGGGCAGGCUAGAGUUCGGUAGGGGAGACUGGAAUUCCUGGUGUAGCGGUGAAAUGCGCAGAUAUCAGGAGGAACACCAGUGGCGAAGGCGACACGCUGGGCCGUACCUGACGCUAAAGCGCGACAGCAUGGGAAGCAAACGGG
rnacentral:rRNA from 1 species